rnacentral:rRNA from 1 species
UACAGAGGUCCCGAGCGUUGUUCGGAUUCAUUGGGCGUAAAGGGUGCGUAGGCGGUCUUCUAAGUUUGAUGUGAAAUCCCGGGGCUCAACCCUGGAAUUGCAUUGAAUACUGGAGGACUAGAGUACCGGAGAGGAAACUGGAAUUUACGGUGUAGCAGUGAAAUGCGUAGAGAUCGUAAGGAAGACCAGUGGCGAAGGCGAGUUUCUGGACAGUUACUGACGCUGAGGCACGAAGGCCAGGGGAGCAAACGGG